rnacentral:lncRNA from 1 species
CCAGGUCCUGCAGAGCCUGGAGGGGAUCCCGCUGCCAACAGGUGAGAACAGACAGGUGAGAGGGGACAGGUGAGAGGGGACAGGUGAGGACAGGUGAGGACAGGUGAGAACAGGUGAGACAUGGACAGGUGAGACAGGUGAGACAUGGACAGGUGAGACAGGUGAGACAGGUGAGACAGGUGAGACAUGGACAGGUGAGACAGGUGAGGACAGACAGGUGAGAACAGGUGAGACAUGGACAGGUGAGGGACAGGUGGGACAGGGACAGGUGAGAGGGGACAGGGACAGAUGGACACAGUGACAAUGCCAAGGUGACAAUGACAGAGGUGACAGUGACAGAGGUGACAAAGGUGACAGUUCCAGCUCACCACGUCCACCUGCAGCAGCAGCACCUGGAUGGGGACAGGUGAGGGACAGGUGGGACAGGGACAGGUGAGGGGACAGGUGGGACAGGGACAGGUGCGAGGGGACAGGGACACAGUGACACGGUGACAAUGCCAAGGUGACAAUGCCAAGGUGACAGAGGUGACAGUGACAGAGGUGACAGAGGUGACAGUGCCAGCUCACCACGUCCACCUGCAGCAGCAGCACCUGGAGGCCGAAGCUCCGCCCCAGA